rnacentral:lncRNA from 1 species
AAUUAAGCUACAAGAAUCAACCCUAUAACAUUUUAGAGCACUAUUACAUCAUUUUUUAUUAUUAACAAAGCUUUAUAAAAUGCGGAGAUCUUCAAUCCUUCUUUGUGAAUAUUGUCUUGUGCAAAUCUGUUCAUCAUCAAAACUUCAUCUCUUUAAUUUUGCUAACAAACAAGUGCUUACUAGAAGGCAACCCAAUGUUUUUGAAACUUUUCCGUUUCAAUUAAUUUAGUUAUUUGGUUGUUUUAAUUUCAGUGUUUAAGUUGGAUUGUGUUUAAGAGUUUAUUAAUUGUUUUAGAGUAUUUUUAGUUGCUUUGAUUAUUUGUUUAGUAUGGUCUAGUAUACAUUGGUAUGACUGGAUUGGAUG